UUAACACCUCCAGUACCACCAGGAGUUGCUCGAUGCAAUUCAUGCUCAACAAUCAAAUUAAUAGGGGCCACACCUUCCUUAAAAUAGUUUCCUACCUGUAGGAAACUAUUUUUAAAAAGGUGUACUCAGGAGCAGGUGCAACACCAAGAACAGCUCCAGUUCCUAUAAGCAAUGGCCUGAUAUACAAGGAACCCUUACCUGGAGGGGGAACCCAACGUUUGUUUGCUAAAACAGUUGCUUUCACAGCUUCCACAAACUGUUCAACUGUAGGUNGAUGGCAUGCACAUCCUUUCUGCACCUAUUUUCAUCCGCAAUGCAUUUUCUUCAGGACGAAACAGGAGAAUAUUACCAUCUUCUUUCCUGUAGGCUUUCAAGCCUUCAAAUAAUCCCUGGCCAUAGUUUAAGACACCCGCUGAGGGAUUCAACUCAAUAUUCCCAAAUCGUUGUAAU
rnacentral:misc_RNA from 1 species